GCAUACAAUUUGCGGCCCACCGUGAGUUUUCUUUGUGCCUUCAAUUCGAGUCCAGCGCUACCCCAAAAGUUCAUUUUUCCUGCCAAGAGCAACGACACCAAUUCGCUUUUGUGCACACUGCCUUCCACACACACACGUUUCUUUGUUCUGCAUUUUUUCAGCUUCAUAGGGGCGGAUCUUUUGCAUCUGUGGACACUGCGUUCCAAGUUACACACACACACACGUUUCCUUGUGCUUAUUUUUCCAGCCUCAUAGGCGCAUCUUUUGCAUCUGUGGACACACACGUAUAACCACAGCUUCUCCGUUUACGGUGUUUUGUAUGUAAGUUAAAAUAAGUUAUUUCAGCAGUUCCUAUUCAUAAGAUGAUAUUUCCAAAUUAUAAUAAAUUUUUUAAUUUAAGCGUUACUAAUUUCAGUGGGGUUAAAGUAAAGUAAUUUGACGGAUUUAGCUGCUAUUUAUUGGCUCAGUCAUAUUUGGUACAUUUCUGUGCCCGUCAGUUAAAUUAGCUUAAGUGAAUUUAGAGGGUUUAACAUUUAAUUAAGAGAUGAUAAGAUAAGAGAUAUACCUAUAAUAAGAUUAAUUAAUUACUUUAAAGGGAAAAUGGCCUAUCUCAGCUUAAGCUAACUGACGGGUACAGAUUUAUU